rnacentral:rRNA from 1 species
AUUGAACGCUGGCGGAAUGCUUUACACAUGCAAGUCGAACGGCAGCACGGGGCAACCUGGUGGCGAGUGGCGAACGGGUGAGUAAUACAUCGGAACGUGCCCAGUCGUGGGGGAUAACGUAGCGAAAGUUACGCUAAUACCGCAUACGAUCUAUGGAUGAAAGCGGGGGAUCGCAAGACCUCGCGCGAUUGGAGCGGCCGAUGUCAGAUUAGGUAGUUGGUGGGGUAAAGGCCUACCAAGCCGACGAUCUGUAGCUGGUCUGAGAGGAUGAACGGCCACACUGGGACUGAGACACGGCCCAGACUCCUACGGGAGGCAGCAGUGGGGAAUUUUGCGCAAUGGGGGAAACCCUGACGCAGCAACGCCGCGUGGAUGACGAAGGCCUUCGGGUCGUAAAGUCCUGUUCUGGGGAAAGAAUAAGUAAAGGGCCAAUACCCCUUUACCCUGACGGUACCCCAGCAGAAAGCUCCGGCCAAUUAUGUG